rnacentral:sRNA from 1 species
GCCGGGCAUGGUGGCACGUGCCUGUAAUCCCAGCUACUUAGGAGGCUGAGGCAGGAGAAUCGCUUGCACCAGGCAGUCGGAGGUUGCAGUGAGCUGAGAUCGUGCCACUGCACUCCAGCCUGGCAACAGAGUGAGACUCCGUCACAAAAAAUAAAACAAAACAAAAAAAACAGAGAGAGAGAAGGAGUCUUGCUGUGUUGCUCAGGCUGGAAUUCAAUGGCUCGAUCUCAGCUCACUGCAACCUCCGCUUCCUGGGUUCAAGAGAUUCUCCCACCUCA